rnacentral:tRNA from 1 species
GGAGGUAUAUCUCAGUGGUAGAGUGUAUGCCUAGCAUGCACAAGGUCCCAGGUUCAAUCCCCAGUACCUCCG